ensembl:miRNA
UGAACUGGAACUGCUGAGUGAAUUAGGUAGUUUUAUGUUGUUGGGCCUGGGUUUCUGAACACAACGACAUUAAACCACCCGACUCACGGCAGUUACUGCUCC